UGGGGAAUAUUGCACAAUGUGCGCAAGCCUGAUGCAGCCAUGCCGCGUGUAUGAAGAAGGCCUUCGGGUUGUAAAGUACUUUCAGCGGGGAGGAAGGGAGUAAAGUUAAUACCUUUAUUCAUUGACGUUACCCGCAGAAGAAGCACCGGCUAACUCCGUGCCAGCAGCCGCGGUAAUACGGUGGGUGCAAGCGUUAAUCGGAAUUACUGGGCGUAAAGCGCACGCAGGCGGUUUGUUAAGUCAGAUGUGAAAUCCCCGGGCUCAACCUGGGAACUGCAUCUGAUACUGGCAAGCUUGAGUCUCGUAGAGGGGGGUAGAAUGCCAGGUGUAGCGGUGAAAUGCGUAGAGAUCUGGAGGAAUACCGGUGGCGCAGGCGGCCCCCUGGACGAAGACUGACGCUCAGGUGCGAAAGCGUGGGGAGCAAACAGG
rnacentral:rRNA from 1 species